GGCCCGGUUGCGGAUGGUCCGCACUUGCACCGAAUUAUUGCCUUGUAUGGUUGUUCGAUUAUUCUGCAGGGGUUGCUUGUUCGAUUCAAGCCUGGGCCA